rnacentral:rRNA from 1 species
CCAAUAGCGUAUAUUAAAGUUGUUGCAGUUAAAAAGCUCGUAGUUGAAUUUCGGGAUCAAUACGUCGGUCGUGCUUCGGUACGUACUGGCGUAAUUGAUUUCUCCCUUCUGACGAACCAUGAUGUCAUUAACUUGGUGUCAUGGGAAAUCAGGACUGUUACUUUGAAAAAAUUAGAGUGUUUAAAGCAGGCUCACGCUUGAAUACAUUAGCAUGGAAUAAUGAAAUAGGACGUUCGAUCCUAUUUUGUUGGUUUUUAGGAUCGACUUAAUGAUUAAUAGGGAUAGUUGGGGGCAUUAGUAUUCAAUUGUCAGAGGUGAAAUUAUUGGAUUUAUUGAAGACUAACUACUGCGAAAGCAUUUGCCAAGGAUGUUGUCAUUAAUCAAGAACGACAGUUAGGGGAGCGAAGACGAUCAGAUACCGUCGUAGUCUUAACCAUAAACUAUGCCGACUAGGGAUCGGAUGAUGUUAAUUUUUUAAUGACUCAUUCGGCGCCUUACG